rnacentral:siRNA from 1 species
UAGUGUUUCAUUGUUAGAAGAUAC